GACGAACGCUGGCGGCGUGCCUAACACAUGCAAGUCGAACGGGGUAAUCCUUCGGGGUUACUUAGUGGCGAACGGGUGAGUAACGCGUGAGAAACCUGCCUUUCAGUGGGGGACAACAGUUGGAAACGACUGCUAAUACCGCAUGAUGUUAUUUGAGGGCAUCCUCGGAUAACCAAAGCUUUAUGUGCUGAAAGAUGGUCUCGCGUCUGAUUAGCUAGAUGGCGGGGUAACGGCUCACCAAGUCGACGAUCGUUAGCCGGGCUGAGAGGUUGAACGGCCACAUUGGGACUGAGACACGGCCCAGACUCCUACGGGAGCAGCAGUGAGGAAUAUUGGGCCAAAUGGGGCGCAAGCCUUGACCCAGCAAAUUGCCGCGUGAAAGGAAGACGGUUUUUCGGAUUGUAAACUUCUUUUAAGAGGGACGAUAAAUGAC
rnacentral:rRNA from 1 species